GAGGGAAACUUGAGAUGUGAAUCCAAGCCCCCCCUCCCCCAAUGUCUCACCACACAGGAGGCACCUGGCAGUGCAGGACUCCAGCUGUAUAGGGCAUUGUGAGAGGGGCCUCUCCUCGUGUGGGGCUGGCUCGAAACCCUGAGUGCCCCGGAGGGCCUGUCUGGCACAUGCCCAGGACGUUGCACAGGCACUGCCACCCCGAGACUCCGGGACGGGACCAGCCCCACACACCCAACCAACGCGUGCCGACGGGGGCCGCGCCACUGUCUGCAGGCUGGGGGAUGUCAGCCCAGCUGCCGCCCCUGUGUGCAGGCCUCGCCCGCAGUGGACGGUGAGUUGGCUCGUUCCAGCGACCACGUAGCUGCACCUGCACUGACGCCGGACCUCACGCCUCCCUCUCCAAGUGCUUCCCCGGCCUGGUGUGUUUCUGAGCUUUCCGGAGCGCACCCCACGUGCGGGAUAAACGGUGCUCAGCUGGGGCUUGUCCCACCUGCUCUGAGCAGAGACUGCACCGUUCACGCACCCUUCCCACUGGACCGUAAGCUACGAGGGCACAGGGAAUCCUGCAGAGACAUUUCCCUCCUGCCCCAAAGUCCUCUCGAGACCGUGGUGAACAUAAGCGAAGGAUUCCACAGCCGUGCUACCAUGCCUGGCCCCUGGGCCCACGCCUGCUGGAGCGCAGUUCUGCUCCCGCCCUCUGAUGCACCCCUGGCCGUCAAGACCGCCCAGCUCCCCUUCCGGCACCCUGCCCCCAGUUAGAUGGCAGGUCCUCCUCUCCACCUGUCACACUGCUGUUGACAAGCAAGUUGCCUGUGGGAGUCAGGGCAAAGUGCUGGGUCAGCCAAGGCCCCCGAAACCCACUCGCUGGCCACCACUUACCCCAGUGCCCCCCAGUAAGUGCAGUUGUUGAGAGUGAUCCUGACACUUCCUCC
rnacentral:lncRNA from 1 species